AACGAACGCUGGCGGCAGGCCUAACACAUGCAAGUCGAACGCUCGUAGCAAUACGGGAGUGGCAGACGGGUGCGUAACGCGUGGGAACAUACCCUUUGGUUCGGAAUAACUCAGGGAAACUUGAGCUAAUACCGGAUACGCCCGAGAGGGGAAAGAUUUAUUGCCGAAGGAUUGGCCCGCGUCUGAUUAGCUAGUUGGUGAGGUAACGGCUCACCAAGGCGACGAUCAGUAGCUGGUCUGAGAGGAUGAUCAGCCACACUGGGACUGAGACACGGCCCAGACUCCUACGGGAGGCAGCAGUGGGGAAUAUUGGACAAUGGGCGCAAGCCUGAUCCAGCCAUGCCGCGUGAGUGAUGACGGCCUUAGGGUUGUAAAGCUCUUUUACCCGGGAAGAUAAUGACGGUACCGGGAGAAUAAGCCCCGGCUAACUUCGUGCCA
rnacentral:rRNA from 1 species